UACGUAGGGAGCAAGCGUUGUCCGGAAUCAUUGGGCGUAAAGCGCGCGUAGGUGGCCCCGUAAGUCCGCUGUGAAAGUCAAAGGCUCAACCUUUGAAAGCCGGUGGAUACUGUGGGACUAGAGUACGGAAGAGGCGAGUGGAAUUCCUGGUGUAGCGGUGGAAUGCGCAGAUAUCAGGAGGAACACCAAUAGCGAAGGCAGCUCGCUGGGACGUUACUGACGCUGAGACGCGAAAGCGUGGGGAGCGAACAGG
rnacentral:rRNA from 1 species